rnacentral:rRNA from 1 species
AUACGUAGGGGGCGAGCGUUGUCCGGAAUGAUUGGGCGUAAAGGGCGCGUAGGCGGCGCGGUAAGUCUGGAGUGAAAGUCCUGCUUUCAAGGUGGGAAUUGCUUUGGAUACUGCCGCGCUUGAGUGCAGGAGAGGUUAUCGGAAUUCCCGGUGUAGCGGUGAAAUGCGUAGAGAUCGGGAGGAACACCGGUGGCGAAGGCGGCUAUCUGGACAGUAACUGACGCUGAGGCGCGAAAGCACGGGGAGCAAACAGGAUUAGAUACCCUGGUAGUCCACGCUGUAAACGAUGAAUACUAGGUGUGGGGGGACUGACCCCCUCCGUGCCGGAGUUAACACAAUAAGUAUUCCACCUGGGGAGUACGGCCGCAAGGUUGAAACUCAAAUGAAUUGGCGGGG